rnacentral:rRNA from 1 species
UUUUGGACAAUGGGCGAAAGCCUGAUCCAGCAAUGCCGCGUGCAGGAUGAAGGCCUUCGGGUUGUAAACUGCUUUUGUACGGAACGAAACGGUUCUCCUUAAUACGGGGGGCUAAUGACGGUACCGUAAGAAUAAGCACCGGCUAACUACGUGCCAGCAGCCGCGGUAAUACGUAGGGUGCGAGCGUUAAUCGGAAUUACUGGGCGUAAAGCGUGCGCAGGCGGUUAUAUAAGACAGAUGUGAAAUCCACGGGCUCAACCUGGGACCUGCAUUUGUGACUGAUAGCAGAGACGGAGGGGGGAUGAAUUCCGCGUGAGCAGUAAAUGCGAGUUGCGGGGAACACCAUGGCAAGGAAUCCCCUGGCCUUCUGCGUAGUGCAGUUCGAUGUUU